GAGACUCUGUGCGCGUGCAUAUCAAUAAGCGGAGGAAAAGAAACUAACAAGGAUUCCCUUAGUAACGGCGAGUGAAGCGGGAAGAGCUCAAAUUUGAAAUCUUCAAGGUUCUACCUUGACGAAUUGUAGUUUAUAGAAGUGUUUUCUGUUAGUGGAGUGGCAAAAGUUCUUUGGAAUAGGACAUCAUAGAGGGUGAGAAUCCCGUAUUUGGUCAUUCCUCCUAGCGUUGUGAUACACUUUCAACGAGUCGGAUUGUUUGGGAAUGCAGUCCAAAAUGGGUGGUAAAUUUCAUCUAAAGCUAAAUAUUGGCGAGAGACCGAUAGCGAACAAGUACCGUGAGGGAAAGAUGAAAAGAACUUUGAAAAGAGAGUUAAACAGUACGUGAAAUUGUCAAAAGGGAAGCGUUUGACACCAGUGUUGUUUUUCCGAAAAUCAAUUACGAAUGUUUUGUUUUUGAGGAGUUAUGACUUCAUCGGCUUGCUCCUUUCUUUACGAAACUUUCUUAAUGCACUUUUCGGUUAACAAGUCAACAUCAAUUUCUUUUGUUGUAAAAGGGUAUGAGGAAGGUGGCUUUCUUUUCGGAGAAAGUGUUUAUAGCCUUGUAGCCUCUGCAAUCGGAGAGAUUGAGGUCUGCAGCGUAGAUCCCUUCGGGGUUAGAUACAGUUUGUGCUAUGUUAUAGCUUUUCAUAGACAACUUGUUGACUAUGUUAGUCUUGUAGCUUACUCGCUGAUGCUAUUUUACCUACGCUUAGGAUGUUGACAGCAGUAUAGACUGU
rnacentral:rRNA from 1 species